rnacentral:rRNA from 1 species
UACGUAGGGUGCGAGCGUUAAUCGGAAUUACUGGGCGUAAAGCGUGCGCAGGCGGUUCGCCAAGUCAGGUGUGAAAUCCCCGGGCUUAACCUGGGAAUUGCGCUUGAAACUAGCGGGCUUGAGUGUGGCAGAGGGGGGUGGAAUUCCGCGUGUAGCAGUGAAAUGCGUAGAGAUGCGGAGGAACACCGAUGGCGAAGGCAGCCCCCUGGGCUGACACUGACGCUCAGGCACGAAAGCGUGGGGAGCAAACAGG